ACUAUCUUGGCAGAUAAUAUGCUCUAGAUUUAGGAUUUAGUUAAAUAGAAACUUUCUAUAGGUAGUA
rnacentral:tRNA from 1 species